rnacentral:rRNA from 1 species
UGGGGAAUAUUGGACAAUGGGCGAAAGCCUGAUCCAGCCAUGCCGCGUGUGUGAAGAAGGUCUUCGGAUUGUAAAGCACUUUAAGUUGGGAGGAAGGGCAGUAAGCGAAUACCUAGCUGUUUUGACGUUACCGACAGAAUAAGCACCGGCUAACUCUGUGCCAGCAGCCGCGGUAAUACAGAGGGUGCAAGCGUUAAUCGGAAUUACUGGGCGUAAAGCGCGCGUAGGUGGUUCGUUAAGUUGAAUGUGAAAGCCCCGGGCUCAACCUGGGAACUGCAUCCAAAACUGGCGAGCUAGAGUAGGGCAGAGGGUGGUGGAAUUUCCUGUGUAGCGGUGAAAUGCGUAGAUAUAGGAAGGAACACCAGUGGCGAAGGCGACCACCUGGGCUCAUACUGACACUGAGGUGCGAAAGCGUGGGGAGCAAACAGG